rnacentral:rRNA from 1 species
UACAGAGGUCUCAAGCGUUGUUCGGAUUCAUUGGGCGUAAAGGGUGCGUAGGCGGUGCGGUAAGUCGGGUGUGAAAUCUCGGAGCUUAACUCCGAAACUGCAUUCGAUACUGCCGUGCUCGAGGACUGGAGAGGAGACUGGAAUUUACGGUGUAGCGGUGAAAUGCGUAGAUAUCGUAAGGAAGACCAGUGGCGAAGGCGGGUCUCUGGACAGUUCCUGACGCUGAGGCACGAAGGUCAGGGGAGCAAACGGG